rnacentral:rRNA from 1 species
UACGUAGGGCGCAAGCGUUGUCCGGAAUUAUUGGGCGUAAAGAGCUCGUAGGCGGCCAGUUGCGUCUGCUGUGAAAUCCCGGGGCUCAACCCCGGGCGUGCAGUGGAUACGGGCUGGCUAGAGGCAGGCAGGGGAGAACGGAAUUCCUGGUGUAGCGGUGAAAUGCGUAGAUAUCAGGAAGAACAUCAAUGGCGAAGGCAGCCUUCUGGGCCAUAAUUGACGCUGAGGCUCGAAAGCGUGGGGAGCGAACAGG